AGCGAACGCUGGCGGCAGGCUUAACACAUGCAAGUCGAACGCAUCCUUCGGGGUGAGUGGCAGACGGGUGAGUAACGCGUGGGAACGUGCCCUUCAGUUCGGGAUAACCCAGGGAAACUUGGGCUAAUACCGGAUACGUGCGAGAGCAGAAAGAUUUAUCGCUGAAGGAUCGGCCCGCGUCUGAUUAGCUAGUUGGUGGGGUAAUGGCCCACCAAGGCGACGAUCAGUAGCUGGUCUGAGAGGAUGAUCAGCCACAUUGGGACUGAGACACGGCCCAAACUCCUACGGGAGGCAGCGGUGGGGAAUAUUGGACAAUGGGCGCAAGCCUGAUCCAGCCAUGCCGCGUGAGUGAUGAAGGCCUUAGGGUUGUAAAGCUCUUUCGUCCGGGACGAUAAUGACGGUACCGGAAGAAGAAGCCCCGGCUAACUUCGUGCCAGCCGCCGCAGUAA
rnacentral:rRNA from 1 species